GGAUCUGCUUCAGUGCUCUAUUUUAGAACACUUGCUUAAAUACUGAAUAUACUUCAAAGCCCACUCUAGUUCCCUAAUUUUGCCCUCUUUAAAAAAGCAUUUAAAAAAAAAGCCUAAUAGCUCACAGUAAUAACUGGUUCCUAAUCUUGGCAUUAUCAGGUUACCUUGUUCCAUUCUAAUAUUCCAAUAUAUAAAUCCACUGAUUAUGCCAGUCUUUUUGUGAUUGUUGCGAUAGCCUUGCUCAUUCUUCUUCAUUUCCCUGUAUUUAUAUCAAUCCCACCCUCUCUUACACACUAAUCUCUUCCCUUCUUAACUUCCCAAAGAAUAUAUUACUUACAUUUUUUAACCACUGGUUUAUAUUCUGACACACUUUUAAGUGUUAGAUAUACAGAUUAUCUACUUCACUCUAUAGCAAGAACUGAGAUAUUUAUAUCUGAGAGAGGGAUCUAGCUCUCAAAGCUUAGAAC
rnacentral:lncRNA from 1 species